GACAGAGGGUGCAAACGUUGUUCGGAAUUACUGGGCGUAAAGCGUGUGUAGGCGGCCAAGCAAGUCGGAUGUGAAAGCCCCAGGCUCAACCUGGGAAGUGCACUCGAUACUGCUUGGCUUGAGUAUCGGAGAGGUUGGUGGAAUUCUCGGUGUAGAGGUGAAAUUCGUAGAUAUCGAGAGGAACACCGGUGGCGAAGGCGGCCAACUGGACGAAUACUGACGCUGAGACACGAAAGCGUGGGGAGCAAACAGG
rnacentral:rRNA from 1 species